CAUGUCUUUUUGAUGAUAAUUUAAAGUCUGACCUGCCCUAUGAUAAAGUUUAUUAAAUGGCUGCGAUAGUUUGAUCGUACAAAGGUAGCAUAAUAAUUAGUUUUUUAAUUGAGAACUGGUAUGAAAGGUCGAACGAAAAAAAAACUGUCUCAAUUUAAUUUUCAUUAGAAUUUUAUUUUUAAGUAAGAAAGCUUAAAUAAUUUUAAAAGACGAGAAGACCCUAUAGAGUUUUAUAUUUAUAAGUUUAUUUUUUAGUUUUAGAAUUUAUUUUAUAAAUUGAUUAAUAAAUAUUUAAUUGGGGUGAUUAAAAAAUUAAAUGAACUUUUUUUAUAAAUUUAACAUUAAUAAAUGAUUAAAUGAUCCAUAUAUAAUGAUUAAAAGAUUAAAUUACCUUAGGGAUAACAGCGUAAUUUUUUUUAAGAGUUCUUAUCGAAAAAAAAGUUU
rnacentral:rRNA from 1 species